rnacentral:rRNA from 1 species
AGAGUUUGAUCCUGGCUCAGGAUGAACGUUGGCGGUGUGCCUAAUACAUGCAAGUCGAACGGUGACGAUUUUGUAGCAAUACGAAUGAAAUCAUAGUGGCGAACGGGUGAGUAACGCGUUGGUGAUCUGCCUCGAAGUGUGGAAUAACUUCCCGAAAGGGUAGCUAAUACCGCAUAGUCUCUCAGGGUUUAGAAAACUGAGAGUAAAGGAUUUAUUCGCUUCGAGAGGAGCCUGCGUCCCAUCAGCUAGUUAGCGCUAGGGUAUAUAAGGCCUCAACCACAGGCAAUGACGGGUAGGGGACCUGAGAGGGUGGCCCCCCACAAUGGAACUGAAACACGGUCCAUACACCUACGGGUGGCAGCAGUAGGGAAUAUUAGAAAUGGGCGAAAGCCUGAUCUAGCAACACCGCGUGUGCGAUGAAGGCCUUCGGGUUGUAAAGCACUUUUUGGAGGGAAUAGGAAGGAAGGUACCUCCAGAAUAAGUCUCGGCUAACUACGUGCCAGCAGCCGCGGUAACACGUAGGAGGCAAACGUUAUCCGGAUUCACUGGGCGUAAAGCGCGUGUAGGUGGUUCUGUAAGUAGGGCGUGAAAGCUCCCGGCUCAACUGGGAGAGGCCGUACUAAACUGCAGAGCUAGAGGAUGGUAGAGGGAGGUGGAAUUCCAGGUGUAGUGGUGAAAUGCGCAGAUAUCUGGAGGAACACCAGUGGCGAAGGCGGCCUCCUGGACCAUUCCUGACACUCAGACGCGAAAGCUAGGGUAGCAAACGGAAUUAGAGACUCCGGUAGUCCUAGCCCUAAACGAUGCAGACUAGGCGUCGGCGGUUUAAUCACCGUCGGUGUCCAAGCUAACGCGAUAAGUCUGCCGCCUGAGGACUACGGCCGCAAGGCUAAAACUCAAAGGAAUUGACGGGUCCCCGCACAAGCAGCGGAGCGUGUGGUUUAAUUCGAUGCUCCGCGAAGAACCUUACCUGGGUUUGACAUAACAGUGGUAGAGAAGUGAAAACGGACCGACCCUUCGGGGAGCUGUUACAGGUGUUGCAUGGCUGUCGUCAGCUCGUGUCGUGAGAUGUUCGGUUAAGUCCGCUAACGAGCGCAACCCGCGCUGUGUGUUACAAGUGUCACACAGUACCGCCGGUAUUAAGUUCGGAGGAAGGUGCGGAUGACGUCAAGUCAGCAUGACCUUUAUAUCCAGGGCUACCACACAGCGGCUACAAUGGUCAGAACAAUUAGGGUGUGUCCAAGCCGCAAGGCGGAGCCAAUCCUCCAAAUCUGGCCUCAGUUCAGAUUGCAGGCUGCAACUCGCCUGCAUGAAGUCGGAGUUGCUAGUAACCGCAGGUCAGCAUACUGCGGUGAAUACGUUCCCGGGGAUUGUACACACCGCCCGUCAAGUCAUGGAAGCUGGCAACACCUGAAGCCGGUAUCCUAACCCGCAAGGGAGGGAGCUGUCAAAGGUGGGGUCGGUGACUGGGAGUAAGUCGUAACAAGGUAACC